UUUUUAGGAGUUGUGUUUAUUAUGGGAUGUUGGUGGCUGGAGUAUUAUGGUCUGUCAGAGAGAGGGCGGGAGGAGGAGUGUCUCCAUGACAACGGGGUUGCUAAGGGGCUGGGACUGAAGGGAAAGAGUGUGUGUGCAGUAGAAGUGUAUGUGUAUGAGUGUGUGUGUGUAGAGGGGGGAGGUGCGUGAAGGCUGAGUAUUAUGGUCUGUCCGUUGCGAGGUAACUAUGCAGAGUUGUGUUAGUGAGUGUUACAGAACGCCGAGGGAGGGGGGAUUAUUCUGGGAUGUCUGCCCCCUUUGUGUGUUUGUGAGGAUGUUAGCUAAGCUCUGCUAGCCACUGAGGCUGGGUGAGAGAAGGGGGACGGAGUGUGCAACGUGUUUUACGGGGUCAUUAACGACAUAUUUUACUGGAUAUUGUUGCUCAUUAAUUUAUAUUAAAGACUAAUACCAUUGCUGAGAGACAAUUAUUACACGAAGGAAACCCAUAUCUAACAGGGACUACAGUAAGUUUCUCAAAAGUCUGAGGGGUUUCACUUGAACCCUGACGGUAACUGUAAGUUUGCCUAAAUUGAGUUUGUAUCGCGCUGGGGCAGUAUUCCAGAGUACUAUAAUGCACCUUUCUAUUCAAUACACGAUGAUUGACGGGUGUCCAUUGCUACAGCUUCCUGUGCGGUGUGGACAGAGGCAUGCCAAUUGAAAACAAAUGUUUUUCGAUGUAAUAAGAUAGUUAACAUGUCACACCGUGACCUGUCACUGUAAUAAAUACUUAUUAUUAUUCGAGAAAUACCAAUAGGAUUGCUAAUUCAAGCAAAGGUUUUUAUUCUUUUUACAGCGACCCCCCCUCCCCAGGACACCCCCGUUCCAUUCUCCACCACCCACACGUCAUUUGCCCUCCUCCCUCACAAGAUCGGGCAGGGUUCGGUGGAGGGAUUAGCUCGCUUUUAAUUUAAAUUCAUUAUUAUUGAAAUAUGUCGGGAAGCGAGGACGAGAGGGAAGACUUGGAACCUACAGGACUUGCACAUGAUGAGGGGGAACCAGAAGAUGCUGUGUCUGACGUUGAGGUCCCCACCAAGUCAAAGAAGAAGAAGAAAGCCAAGAAGAGCCGUGAGAGCAGGAUCAGCAAGAGACCAAGACCUGUCAGAGAGGUAGGAUGGGCAUCAUCCUUCCUUACAUGAAGUAUCCUAGUCACUGAUAUCAGGGAUUGCUCCAAGGAAGUUG
rnacentral:lncRNA from 1 species